GAAUCGAUGACUGCCCCUGGCAUCACUGUUGUGUACGUGCGUGCAUGCGAUCUGCGCUGUAACUGCAAAAUAACCCUUGCAAUCAACAGGUAAAACAUUGCUUCAUCAUUCUUUUCCUGUUAUUUCAAGUUUUCAAGUUUUAAAUUAUCGCGAAUUUCGAAAAUGUGCAUUGCCGAUGUGUUAAUAGUGUCCAGUUAAAGAUUUGAUAAACAAUAGCCUCAAGUCCUUGUUUAGUGCAAGGUAAGGAGCGUUCGAAGUGAAAUUCCUUGCAUUCCAAAGUUGCGGUUCAACCGUCCAGGUCGACCAGCACAGCAUCCAGGUUAAGAAUGUCACUUUUGUGAUCGCUCGCCAAUGACAUGCGAAGAAUGCAAAAAUGCUUCAUUGUCAGCCCAUAAAGUAGAAAGAAACUGCUGGGAAUCCAAAUGGACGACGGAAGCCCAUUAUGGCCCAGCAUCGGCAGCAAAACCGCCAAUACGAAUUUUUGCCAUUAUGCGACGUCUUGUUCAACAUAAUUUCAUUAGCUUCAUACUUUUGCGAUGUCGUGUUCGAUCUUGCUAUGGGAUAUGCUCUCGCUCAUCAUCCUUCAGCACCAGCAGCACUCUUUCCAUUAAGCAUCUCCCUCGUUGUGACCUCCCUUUUACUAUCACAGGUGAUCAGUAUACGAUGGUACCUCUGGGGUGCAAGAGGUAAAUUAAAUAACAACGUGACAACUCCUAACUGUGAUUUAAAUAAUGAAAAGAAGACUGGUAAUUGGACAAUGGGGUGGGUCUUGCUACUUCACUCAACACAAGCUGGUGUUCUCUGGCGUUACUUUAAGCUGUUUAUUCCUGUUGAUUUAAGCCAUGUUAAACAUGAGGUGAGAGAAUUGUGUGUUUUACGUUUGAUACACGCAUUUUGCGAAGCAGCUCCAAUGUUACUAUUGCAAUCAUACUUACUGUCAGUUGGAAUCGAGAGAGAAAUCGAGCUCGAUCAUGGAAUUGGCAAAAUCGAGACGGCAAGAGAUGAUGCAAAAUUGGAAAAACUCACAACCGUUUCGGCAGGAUUGUCACUGUGGAGUGUGUGCUGGGCAGUCGCAAGUUUCAGUAAAGGAGCAGCACGCUUGAGAAAUUUAGAGCGUUUGGUGCUUACAUGGCUUGGUGUAUUGGCCCAAUUAUUCUGGCGAUUGGGAACUGUGAGUGCACGAGUUGGUGCUUUAAUAGCAUACGCCUCUCUGUAUGGUGGUCAGUGGCUUAUAAUUGUAAUGGCCCUCCACUGGCUUUCAAUGUUGACUUGGCUAAUGCUCACGCCUGAUGGACUUUUUCAUAGUGGCGAGCGCCUUCCAAUUUUUCGUAAAACAUUUUUAGCCUCACUUCUUGCAUUCGUUUACAUAUUUGUUUAUGUAAAUCUACAUGAAAUCAAUCAUCGUCAGAAAAUGGUUAUUUUCUACACUGUGAUGUUCCUUGAGAAUAGUUUACUCAUUGGCGUUUGGGCAGUCGGUGUCAACAGAACUGAUAUUCAUCUUGAUCACCGUCCUCGUCCAACUGUACUUAUUCUCACCCUGUUGGCUCUAUUUUUUGGAGGUAUAUGCUUCAUGGGUCUCUAUUACAGAUUUUUUCACGUAAGACGUUUGAGAUACGAAGCGGGUGGAAGAAUGAAUAGCACAAAUAUUGUAACAACAUUAAAUAAUCAGAAUAUUUCUGAUGCAAAACAUAUGAAUUAUAUUGAUGAUAAAAAAAUGAACAUCAAUAAUGGUAUACGAGGAGUGAAAUGUAGCAAUGGUGGAAUUCCGGGAGUAUUUAAUUGCCGUUUUGCAAAUCCCACUGUGACAAAUGCAAAUCGAAAAAAGAAGAAACCAACUUCGUUUGUUCCUCCUCCAUCGCAACAUCAACAGAACAAUUUGCCUUUAGCAUCAGGAGGUGAAAAUAAACAAUGGAUAAAUAGCAAUGGAAGUGCACGACAAUUAAUUCCAUUUUGGAAAAGACCUCUUUCACGCUCCAGCAUGGUUCACGACGAAGAUUCAUCUGGAGAAAGACAUGAAGCGGAUGUUGGUAUAAGUGGUUCGCUAAGCGUGAAUUUAAUUCAUGAAAAAUUGCGAGAAAAGAAGCAGCAGCAACUUCGUGAAUUAAGGGCUAUUCAGGAAGAAAUCAAACAGGGAAAAUUGGUUCCGCCUCCUUCAGCUUCAACAUCUUCUUUCUCAUCGUCGCCAUCAGCAUCGAAUCAACAACCGCCACCAAAUACAAAGUUACACACAUCUCCCAGUUCUCCAUUGAUGACGUCAGUGCCGACAUUGUCCGAUCAAAAUGUCAUGUCUUCCUGGCCUCCAAUUAAAAUGCAUUGUCUCCUACCUCCACCUCCGUCAUCGCCUUAUCAUCCUACUUCAUAUUCCUCGACUCACUGGAAAGAACCGCAAAAGGACAGAGCAGAAACUCCCGAGAUCCUUUUAGCACCACGUUGUCUUCCUCAUCAUUAUACCCACUGGACAUCGUCAGGAAAUUCUACGCACAGGUUGCACAAUGGACACGACGAGGACGACGAUGAUGAUCAAAGUUCUAAAGCAGAAGGAGACAGAGAUGGCGAAGUCAGUGAUAUGGAAGGUAGCCAAGUUUCAUUGCCUAGAAGUUAUACGUUACCUCGAGAAUUUAAGUACAAUAAUUCCAAUCAUGUCAUGAAAGGACGUCGAGGAUGUACUAAAAUGCUCUCCUCACGUUUUUAUUUACCAUCGACGAAUAGUUCAGAUGGUGAUGUAGAUAGCGCAGACAACGAAAAUGAAACAGAUUCUGAUAUUCACAAACGAACACAAAAUGUUCAGAAUCAUAUUGAAAAAGUGCCGUCCAACCAGUUUUCAUUUCAGAAUAAUAAAACGACAAAUAUGGUGAAUUCAAAUCCUGAAAGUUCAUCAGGUUCUUAUACGAAUAUGUACAAUAUUCAACGAGCAAAUCAAUCGCAUAGAACAAAAAUAAAACACGAAACGAAGCUAUAAUUAUUUUUUACAGUUUAUAAAUAUAUAAAAAUAUAUAUUUAUGUAUGAAUUGAAGCAUUGGGUGCAUAAAGGGCGUUACACGGAUAACGCUAAUUUUGAAAUUGUUGAGUGAGAAUGAUUACAAUAUCCUCUAGUUUAUAUUAAUAAAAGUUCACAUCGAUCUAAGGCUUUUUUGUGAUGAUAAUAAUAAAUAUCUGGGUGUAUUCCACAGGAUUUCGUUGUUUUAAAUAUUUGCUAAUAAAAUUUCAAGUAAAAGUAAAAACUUAUUUUUGUUGUUAAUCGGCGUUAAAAAAAAAUUCACCAAAAAUAGUGCAUUGUGUCCCAAGAAGGCAAAACAAGUCUUUUAACGCCGAGCGAAAUUUUGCGAUACAAGGGGAGAUGAAGCCAACGAAUUAAAGAUGAGUAUCGCAAAAUGUUGGCCUCCGAGGUGCACAUUGUGCUUUAUGUAACAAAAGCAUGAUUAUAAGUAUUUUUUUCUAUUUCAGAAUUCAUUUUAAUGUUAUUAAUUAAAUUUAAGCUGUACAGGCGACGACCACACGACGACUUGUCAAAUAUUAUAAUUUUUUAAGUUAAUUUAAAAAGCAAGUCGAACAGGUUCCUUAAAUGACACAGAGGUGGCAGCACUUUACUAAUUAAUGCAAUGGGGGAAUAGCAGAAAUCUUGCCACACUCAUAAACAUUGACAUAUGUAAAUAAAUAGUUUUAAUAAAA